AAGGCUACACUUUCAGGGAUCAUUUCUGUAGUUUGUUACUAGAGAAGCUUCUCUGAACGUGUAGAGCACCAGAACACAUAG
ensembl:snoRNA U3 Small nucleolar RNA U3